UACGGGGGGAGCAAGCGUUGUUCGGAUUUACUGGGCGUAAAGGGCGCGUAGGCGGCCACCGCAAGUCGACUGUGAAAUCUCCGGGCUUAACCCGGAAGGUCAGCCGAUACUGCGGGGCUAGAGUGCAGAAGGGGCAACUGGAAUUCUCGGUGUAGCGGUGAAAUGCGUAGAUAUCGAGAGGAACACCUGCGGCGAAGGCGGGUUGCUGGGCUGACACUGACGCUGAGGCGCGAAAGCUAGGGGAGCGAACGGG
rnacentral:rRNA from 1 species